rnacentral:rRNA from 1 species
UACGUAGGGUGCAAGCGUUGUCCGGAUUUAUUGGGUUUAAAGGGUGCGUAGGUGGCUUGUUAAGUCCGGGGUGAAAGCCCACAGCUCAACUGUGGAACUGCCCUGGAUACUGGCGAGCUUGAGUCCAGACGAGGUUGGCGGAAUGGAAGCUGUAGCGGUGAAAUGCAUAGAUAGCUUCCAGAACCCCGAUUGCGUAGGCAGCUGACUAGGCUGGUACUGACACUGAGGCACGAAAGCGUGGGGAGCGAACAGG